CUCUCUGGAGAAUCCCGGCUGUUUAGCAGUAUGUGGUGCCGAAGGUGCAAGGAAUCAUUUCCAAAACUCUCAGGCAAAAGGACAGAGCCAU
rnacentral:ncRNA from 1 species